AGAAAACAACAGUUUGGAGCUGAGAAGUCCUAAAGACAUAACCACAAUAACAACCAAGCCUGGGGAGAAGGCUUGGUUCUCAGUAAGUUUGUUUCAGAUCGAGUAAUUGUUAAUACAGCAAAUCCAUGCAAAAGGGUGAGUUUUGAAUCCACACAGCAGAUAGAGGUUGUAUUUCACAGCAGUGUGGUAAUGCCACCUGUUUGCAGCACUGUACAUACUAUGCAAUUUCAAAAGCAGCUGCUCAAUACAGACUGCAGAAUAGUACUGUAGAUAAAUUGGAAGAACAGCAGAAAUAACUCACACAGAUUUCUUUUUUAAUGGAAUUCUAAGCUUUGAGCAGUUUUGUGUGUUUUUGGGGCAUGAUGAAACUCCUCAGAAGAACACAUCCUGUUUUCAAGAGCAUUCUGGGAACAGCUGACAUUCUUGGUAUUAUGUUUUAAUAAUGCCAAGGAGCCCCAUUGUGCUAGGCACUAUACAAAUACACAGGAAGAGACUGCCCCUGCCCUGAAGAGCUUACUGCCUGAAUGAUGGAAGGAGAAACACAGACUUGCUCGACAUCAAACAGCAGCAGGCCCAGGAGUAGAGGGUGUGUCUCUUGAAUGGCUAUCAUUGUACUACUACAUUAAGGGCUUGAGCCUGCAGGGCACUUGACCACUCUUCCAAAGAGAGCACAUCAUUACCCAGUGGCCACUUUACAGUGCUUUGCGCCUUAAUGUGAGCAUAACGUACACUGCACCCGCUUUUAGGCCCCUGUACACUUUGAAUAUGGUGCCCAGUGGUCUUUGUGUAAAUGAGCAUUCCAGCCCCAAACUGCAGUGACCGCUAAGGGUGUGUAAUGCCACAUAGGCAUGUUCCCUAGCUGCCACACCUCCACAUGUGCCAUGUGAAGAGGUCCGUUACAGCACUAAGCAGUGUUAUCUGUUCACCCAUCCGCAUGCCAGCAGCUGCAUCCCAUCUUGUUUUCAUAUUCUUUUUAGUUGAGAAUAAAUAAUUUUUAAAAACCUUUUCUAAUGAAAAAAAAAAGAAAAGAAAAAAAAAAGAAUUAAGGACAGUAAAGCGUAGGCUAGCUCAGCACCGGGCAGCUUGUUGAACUCAAAAUGUAACUUUGGCUUAUAGUGCAGGAGGUCCCAGGUUCAAAUCCUAUGCUAGUCCUCAGGAAGGUGAAAUAUAUAUGGAACCUUUACUUUUGGGAUUUGUGUGAUGAUCUAGUGGUUAAGGCUCUAGACUGUGACUCAGGAAACCUGGGUUCAAUUCCUGGUUCUCCCACCCUCUUCUUGUGUGAACAGGCAUAAGGCUAGUGUGUGCCUCCGUUUCCCUAUCUGUAACAUGGGGAUGAUACUUCCCUACCUUGUAGGAGUCUUGGGAAAAUAAAAUCCAUUAAAGUCUGUACAGUGCUCAGGUUCUUUGGUGAUGAGAGUCACAUAAAUACCUCCACAGAGCAAUGAAACAACAAAAGGUUAACACACAGAUCUGUGCAGGAAAUGGUAACAUUAGCAUUACACCCCAUGCUCACUGGAGGUCAGAUUUAAACAAUUAAUGUAGAUAUUGAGGCUGAAUAAACACUCUUCAUCUGAGAAAGAGUUAAGCAAACACAGAGGGCAGUUGAAGAAGAACUUUUCUUUUUUUGAUGUGUGGUUGCAAUAUCACUUUUUAAGAAACACUGUUUCAAGUCAGGGUAAUUCAACUAUUUCCUCCCACCAAUCAACUUUCCCCCCUCUCCAUCUACCCACACACACACUACCCCAAGGGAGGAGGAAAAACCGGAUUUUCAAGGUUUUUUUCCUCUGGUCUGUUUGACUAAAGGUGACUCCUGCUUAGUGGACAGAGGGCCAUCCCCCACUGAUCAAUAUUUUAAUGUGACUUAUCAGAAAGAGAAUGAAUUGUUUACUUAAAAACUCAGGAUCCCAUAAAGGGCAAGGGAAAAGUGUCCACUGGAAACAGAAGUUCUGGACAUCUGCCUGCUGCUGUAAAUUCAUAACAAGGAAGCCUAAAACUCAAAGGAUCAGAAGAAAGUGGUGUCCAGCAAAACAAUGCGUUAGAACCAAAACUCCAACAAAGGCACAACUAGCAGUUAUGUGGGAUGUGCUCACACAGAGUGUGGCAGUGGCUCUGCCUGGAGGGCGAGUGAGAAGGACACCUCUAGUUUGGUUCAGGAGAUGGUGGAGGACACAGUAAGUAUCACAUGCACUUUAGCACUGAGGUUAAACUGCUCAAUGAGCAGCAGUUAUUGCUAAGGCUACUGCAAAAACUCCUAGCUUCAUCUCCUUUUCAAGGGAAUGUUCACUGCUCACAAAAGCUAUGUGACAUAUGGUAACUAUGGACUUGGCCUGGAACUUGUUGAGCAAGGUUGAGCCUUGUGGGCCAGAUUUACAAAAUUAUUGUUGCCCCUUUGGCCUGAGUGAUCAGCCAAU